CUCUUCUUCCAGGCUCCAUACAGUGUGGAAUGCUCUGCCUGAGGAACUUGUAGAUUUUUAAGCAUGUCCUUCAGAGACCCAGAAGCAGCUGCAGCGACGGGUCCACCUCUGCUGACUGACAUGGAUGUGAAAUGAACAUUGGCCCCUGCAAGAUGAGAAACAAAGCGCUCAUGGACAGUAAACACUGGAGCCAAGAUUUGUAAUUGCAUCUCUCUGCCUCCAAAUUCCUGAUCUUUGAAGAACAUCCUACCGCCUCCCAGAAAUAAACUAAGAGCAAAUGUGGCUGGAAAGGGUAUGGAUUUCUCGUCUCCAGAGGAGCCUCUUCUUAAUCCAAACACUCAGGAGGCGGGAAGGGGUGUGUCAACUCAGCUCAGCAAGUGGAGAGAGAUGGAAAGAGAUAGCUGAAACCCUGAAAAGCACAUCCAUUUGGAUGAAUGAGAAUGAGGCCACGGCAGACCAGCUUCGACCUCUUGCAUCCCAGCCUCCAAAUAUCCUUUUGAUGUUUACUCUGGGAGGGCGUUGUUUUCAGGAUUCCCUCCGCCUCUUACUUUCUUAUGUGUGUCCCUUCCUUUUAGAUUUUAUAGGUACAUGUAAUAUUUAUGUGUCGGUGACCUCUCAAAGCAGUUUUAGAGAUUGACUGUUUACAUUUAGGAAUUUUCUUUAAGGUCUACAAAAUCCUUUGUGCUUUUUCCAGGAAAGGCACUCUGUCAGAACCAAAACAAACAGCUGAAUAACUCACAUUUGAUUGGGGCCAAAUCUCUUAGGAGAGUAAAAAGAAAAAAAAAAAAAAGUUAGCCUUUGUUUUUGUUGUUUCCUUUCCCCGCCUCGAUCUGGUCGCAUCAUCUCGAGCCCUUGCUGCUUCCAAACUGAUUAAGGAUUGCUUUAAAGCUAAGGUCGAAUCCUUGUAUGGGAGAAACCUUGACCCUGGGAGAUUUUGCGAGGCACAUUUCGGGAAGGAUCUAGCAAUGAGGAAAAACCGUGUCUUCCGAAAAAUGUAUCCAAGUGUAUUUUACAUGUGUCUCCAUGACCAUGGAGGAUAAGAGGACUGUUAGGGCUCUGACCAAAUUCCUCGGGUCCUUGGCAGGACCUCGGCUGUGUAAUUCAGGCUUAGGACUGUUAUCCGGGCCUCUUCAGAAGGUCUGUCCCAAGCCGAUGAUGUCGGUGGUUCGUGCUCAGCCCAAACAGAGUCAUAUUUAGCUGUUUGCCUGACUCCCCAGGUCCCCUUCCCAGCAUGACUUGCUCUGUGAAAAAAAGUUAUGGGGUCUGGCAAGCACAAGGGCCUUCCCUAGAGCUGAAAAGGCCUCUUCCCAUGUUACUGCUUGUCCUAGCUCUUUGACCUUAGGCAAAUUCCUGGACUGGCUGGAGUCACAGUUACCCUGGUUGUCACUGAGACUGGCUGAGUGAUAAUAAGACCUACCUUCUGUCAUAGGUGGGAGGAUUAAGUGAGAUAAUGACUGUACAA